GGACAGUGGUUAACCUCAAAUAUGGCACUCAUAAUGCUGGGGUCGGUGGUUCAAGUCCACCUAUCACCACCA
rnacentral:tRNA from 1 species